AAUGAACGUUGGCGGCGUGGAUUAGGCAUGCAAGUCGAGCGAGAACCCAGCAAUGGGGGACAGCGGCGCAAGGGACAGUAAUGUGUAGAUUAUCUGCCCUCGGGUCCGGGAUAGCUGCGGGAAACUGCAGGUAAUACCGGAUAACAUCUCCGGAUCAAAGGUGUGAUUCCGCCCGAGGAUGAGUCUGCAUCCUAUUAGCUAGUUGGCCGGGUAUUGGCCUACCAAGGCAGUGAUGGGUCGCGGGUGUGAGAGCACGACCCGCGUCAUUGGGACUGAGACACUGCCCAGACACCUACGGGUGGCUGCAGUCGAGAAUCUUCGGCAAUGGGCGCAAGCCUGACCGAGCGACGCCGCGUGUGGGAUGAAGGCCUUCGGGUUGUAAACCACUGUCAGAGGGGAUGAAAUGCAGGUGGGUUCUCCCAUCUGUUUGACAUAGCCUCAGAGGAAGGACGGGCUAAGUUCGUGCCAGCCGCCGCAGUAACAC
rnacentral:rRNA from 1 species